rnacentral:rRNA from 1 species
GUAACACGUAGUCAACAUGCCCAGGGGACGUGGAUAACCUCGGGAAACUGAGGAUAAACCGCGAUAGGUCACUACUUCUGGAAUGGGUAAUGACUCAAACCUAUAUGGCCCCUGGAUUGGACUGCGGCCGAUCAGGCUGUUGGUGAGGUAGUGGCCCACCAAACCUGUAACCGGUACGGGCUCUGAGAGGAGGAGCCCGGAGAUGGGCACUGAGACAAGGGCCCAGGCCCUAUGGGGCGCAGCAGGCGCGAAACCUCUGCAAUAGGCGAAAGCCUGACAGGGUUACUCUGAGUGAUCUCCGUUAAGGAGAUCUUUUGGCACCUCUAAAAAUGGUGCAGAAUAAGGGGUGGGCAAGUCUGGUGUCAGCCGCCGCGGUAAUACCAGCACCCCGAGUGGUCGGGACGUUUAUUGGGCCUAAAGCAUCCGUAGCCGGUUCUACAAGUCUUCCGUUAAAUCCAACUGCUUAACAGAUGGGCUGCGGAAGAUACUAUAGAGCU